CGUACACAUACUUUGCCCUCACCCUCGCCCUCGCCCCAACCUGGCCCAACCCGGCUCGACAUGUGUGCCCCCCCUCACAUGUAUGGGAUAUGUAUAGUGCUUUUCUCCUAUGAAUCCCUACCCAUAGAGAGAACAAAACUAUAGAUAUAUUCUACCUCUACUCUUUUCCCAAACAAUGUGGGAUAAAGAAUCUUCCCAUGCAUUCAAGAGAGGGAAGAGGAAAAGACAACUCAAAGAACAAGGGAGGGAGGAGAAAUUCUUGAAAUUUUGAAUCUCCCUCCAACCAUAGAGUUUGCAUUCCUAUUUACAAAAGACACUGAGAUGUUCAAAUUUUGCAAACUAUUUAGAAAAUCCUGAACCAGAAAAACAGCAUCAUUAGCUAAGAAGGCAUUUCUUUUGUAGACUGUUGUGACCAAAGCUUGACAAUCACUUUCGAACACAAUCUUUCUUCCUUCUAAAUAAUUCGCCAGCUUCAGGCCAUGACAAAAGGCUUGGGCUGGGGGAGUUUACCUUACUAUUCCCAAAAGAAACUGCAAUCACUUCCCCUUUGAAGUCCCUGGCAACCACUUCAAAACCAGCCGGGCCUCUCAACAAAAAGCUUCCAUCAAUGUUAAACUCGAUCUCUCCUUCUAUAGGGGGCUUCCAAAAAGAUGCAAGUCUAGAUUGAUUAGGGGCUGGAGAAUAAUGCAGCCAUCCUUGUUGGGAAAUCAACUUCCUCUCCUGCAUCAUCUUGAUAAUUGGCAAUUUGGCAUCACAGUAAUAGAAGGAUUAAUAGCAGAGUUUUCAAAUAUGAAAGCAUUACGGCUCUUCCAAAUUUCCCACAGAACAAUAGUAGAAGUUACUAAUAAUUGUUCCUUGGGUUCCUUUUGAUCCUCACAAAGAUCAUACCAUUUGGAAAACCAUUUCCCAAAAGACCAAUCAGAAUUUAAGUUUUCUGUUUUCACAUUUAAAGAACAGGCAAACCAUAUUGAUUUAGCAUGAUAGCAGAAGAGGAGAAUGCGCUAUUGUUUCCACUUCCUUAGAGCAGAUGGGACAAUAUUCUGUAACCUCUACUCUUCUCUUAUUUAAAUUUUCUCUACCUGGCAAUGCAUUCCAACAAUAUUUCCAUAAGAAAGUUUUAGUUUUGGAUCUAAUUUCAUUUCCCAAAUGGCUUUCCAGUGGUAUUUUUUGAGGAUUCUGUUUUCCUUCUCUUCAUUUUCCAUUCCCCUACCCAGAUUUUGAUCUAGAUUUCUUGCUACAUAAUAGGCCGAUUUCACUGUAAAAACAUCCAUUCUCAUUUAUAGUCCAGGUAAGCCUAUCUUGCCAAGAGCCUUCUGCUAAAGGUAUCCUAAGGAUGUUCUCCGAAAUUAGCUCACUAAAAUUUGAUCUGAUAAGCAUUUCAUUCCAGGAUCCCCCCCGGGUUUAUUAAAUCCUUUACUACCUUCAAAUUUCUUCCCUGAGGUCUAGGUCUUUGAAUUCUGAAUCCAGGGACUUUUGGCAGCCACGGAUCCCUCCAUAUUUUGAUCUGUUCACCAUUAUUAACUGCCCAGCAAGCCCCAUAUCUUAGAACCUGUCUGGCAGCUAGCAAGGACCCUCUUUUUGGAAGAUCAUCCACUAGGAAAUUUUUAUUUUUUAGGUAUUUUGCCUUGAUGACUUUAACCCAUAGAUUCUCUUCCUCUGUGCACAACCUCCAAGCUUGUUUUGCCAGGAGAGCUAAAUUGAAAUUAUGAGGGCCCUUCACCCAUUUAAUUUAUUUUUGCAGCAAUUGUCCCAACUUACCCAGUGAAUUUUUUUUCUUUGUAUUUCCAUCCCUCCACCAACACUCUCUUUUUAGCUUAGAGAUAGCUUCACAUAUUGUUUUUGGUAACAGGAAACAAGACAUAGUAUAAGAAGGAAUAGCUGCUACCACUGACUUCAAGAGAACCUCCUUCCCUGCUUGAGAGAGUAGAAAUUCAUGCCAACUUUUUGUUUUGCUCUCUAUUCUCUCUACCAGGUGCCCAUAUAAGGAUUUUUUUUUUUUUUAUCUCCCUAAUGCUGUAUGUAGCCCUAAGUAAAUGGAUGGAUUUGCUACUCUUUCAUACCCAAAGUUCUUGCUAACAUUUUUUGAAGCCUAGGAUGCAAAUUUAACUGAAAUAGACUUCUGAUUUAGAUAAGUUUACCUGCUGCCCCGAUGCCUGUUCAUAAUCAUGUAAAGCUUCUAGAAGAAUCUGUCGUUCAGAUGGACUUGCACUGGUGAAUAAAUAGCUAUCAUUUACAAAAAAUGGAUGUGAGAUCACAGGGAAACCUCUGUUAAGUUUUAUGCCUGACAGCCGGUUAGAAUUCACCAGAUCAUUGACUUUUAUAGAUAGGAUUUCUGAAACUAGAAGAAAUAAGUAAGGAGAUAGGGGAUCUCCUUGCCAGUCCUUUCUUUGGUUUCAAAAUCUCCCCAGGAGCACCGUUUAUAAGAAUCCUAUAGUUGACUGUUGAGAUGCACUCUAUCACCCACCUUACCAUGAUCCCCUGAAGGAAGCUCCGUUCCACUCUGUAAUAGGCAUUACUCAUGUCUAGUUGAAGUUAUAAAAGGUGCACCUUGAAUGGAUCGGUGCUUAUCUCGCCAUGAUUGUUAUUGUUGAUGAUUUUUAAUCCAGGACCAGAAGACUCUCAAAGACUCAAAACUAUGCUUGGGAGUUCUAUAUCAACAACAAUAGACUUCAGUUUCAGCAUGUGAUUCUAGUUCUUACACUUGGCAUGCAUGACACUCGAUACACCUCAUAAAUUCUAGAAUUCCUGAGUCUUGGACUGAUUCGAAAAAGUAGGCAAUCAUGUCGUCGUCUUCGUUGUGGUUGAUGAUGUCUGACAAAAAUCUCGUGGCCCUCUCUGGAGCUGGAUCCUUGAAUUAGAUUCCCUGUACCUCAUAUUUUGUCCAAUGGAAGGAGCACCAUCUCAACGCCCAUGACUGGAGGACCCUUUAGUUCCUUUUCAGUCGGGACUUUGGCAGCCUUUUUGCCCUUCUGUCUUAGAGCUGGAGCUCUCGAAUGGAGAUGCCCGGAGAUUGUGCUUCCGAUCAGGUAGCAGCAUCAAAUGCACCUUUGAAAGAGAACCAUAUAUAUAUAUAUAUAUCGGUAUGCAGCUCUGUAGACCUUACGUGAAUUCUUAUUUUGGGAUUCAUUUAAAUUGAUUCUUCUGUUUCUGUCACCCUCCAUAACCAGAGGGAAACAGCAUUGUUAUGGAUAUGCUAAUCCUUGGCAUGCUAUCGUUGACAAAAUAAUGCACCAUAAGGCAAAACCAUCUUCUCUUGAUAUUCGCAGCAGGGCCUAUUCACUUUCUUAUUCAACAAAAAUCAACUUCAGUGUGAAAACAAGACCGUUUACACCUCGGAGAAAACGGUUCAUGCAGCUCAUGUAGGAACAAACAAAUAUUACUCCAUUUUUGUGUACAUUAACAUUUCCUGUCUCAAUUUCUUUACAUAAUCUAGUUGAUAUUAUAUAA